UGACCAUGCCGUCUCCCAUGCGCCUGUCUUCCUCAUCCUUAUCUCCUCUGUGUCUUGGCUCAUCCCCUCACGCUCGUGCAUACAAGCAGCAACAGCAGAAGCUCCCUCUCUGCUCCUUUUCCAUUCACAGCGGCACUUCAUCUCCCUCCCGAGCAGCUCUUCCUCACUGCUCUCUCAGUUCUAUCUCCUCCCUCCUGUUGUUUGUUGCACUCUUCUCUCUCUCACUGCUCUCUCUCCUUGCGUGGUCUUCACUGAGAGCACAGCACAGAAGCAGCAGCUCAGCUCUUGCUCCCUUUCAAUCAUAGCUAGCAGCACACCAUCUCCCUCCCGAUGCGCUCCUCCCGCGCAUGUGCUUGCCUUGCUCAGCCUCUCUGUCGUCGAGCUGCUGUAUGGAGCACCCCUGGAGCCCCUCCGUCGUCUGCUGUCGCGCUCCAGCGAGCCUUGCCACGCCUGCCCUCCCUGCUGUUGUCCAAGUUGGCGGGCAUGUGCCAGGUCGAGCCCGAGAGCUGCCGUCCCAGGUGGAUGCCGCCGAGUUCCUGCUGGCUGCUGUGCCGUGUUCUUGCUGCUGCUGGCCGGGCUUCGCUACGCGUCGACAAGUUCUGGCCGCCCAGCUGCAUCGCGCUGAAGUCCCGCGACGCCACGCUGUCGUGUCGUCCUCCUGCGUCGCCGGCCUAGGCAACCAUGCAACCCGGAGCCACCCAGCGUGGUUCACCGUCGAACUACUUGCUGCCGACCAGCACCCACGCCAACGCCGCCAGGACCUUCUCUAGCUGCAACGAGCAACUCCGAUGCCGCUCAUCCCCAUGGCCUAAUCACUGCACCUGCACGCAGCCUCAUCUUUCUUAACCCUGUGAAAUAUUUUGUGUUCAUUGCUGUGGAUUUUCUUGGAUGGAUUUAUUUGCAUCUUUCGGUAUUUAUCGAUCAAGUAUUUGGCGUGUACGUAAGUGCGAUCAAUGAUGAAGGAUAGAGAUCAGAAAUAUCACAAAGAAAUAAUGCCAGGAAAUCAUGGAAGCGAUGAUAUCGGGUCUUUCUAGGAUUCAACUCCCAGUCGGUUGCCUGUGGGCGGGUUUGAGGCACACCCGCUGGAUAUUUGAAUCUAUUUCAUUGUAUUUUUCCGCUGCAUAUCCUUUUAUAUUGUAGACCAGUUGGUCAUAAUGUUGUAAAUUUAAUCCAAUUAAAUAUUUUCACCUUGUAAAAUGUAUGGAUGUGAUAUCACUGUUGUAACCGUGUGUACUUGCUACUGAUCAUGGGACAAGUACAGUGGAAACACGGAGUUUCGGGUAAUCUAAUUACCCGGGGC